UACGUAGGGGGGCAAGCGUUGUCCGGAAUCAUUGGGCGUAAAGAGCGUGUAGGCGGCCAGAUAAGUCCGCUGUGAAAUCUCGAGGCUCAACUUCGAGCUGUCGGUGGAAACUGUCUGGCUAGAGUCCGGAAGAGGAGAAUGGAAUUCCUGGUGUAGCGGUGAAAUGCGCAGAUAUCAGGAAGAACACCGAUGGCGAAGGCAGCUCGCUGGGACGGUACUGACGCUGAGGCGCGAAAGCGUGGGGAGCAAACAGG
rnacentral:rRNA from 1 species